CCUACGGGAGGCAGCAGUAAGGAAUAUUGGUCAAUGGAGGCAACUCUGAACCAGCCAUGCCGCGUGCAGGAUGACGGCCCUAUGGGUUGUAAACUGCUUUUAUACAAGAGAAAACCCUGGUACGUGUACCAGGUUGAUAGUAUUGUAAGAAUAAGCAUCGGCUAACUUCGUGCCAGCAGCCGCGGUAAGACGAAGGAUGCAAGCGUUAUCCGGAUUCAUUGGGUUUAAAGGGUGCGUAGGCGGACUGAUAAGUCAGUGGUGAAAUCUCUUUGCUUAACAAAGAAACUGCCAUUGAUACUGUCGGUCUAGAGUAUAGAUGACGUUGGCGGAAUAUGACAUGUAGUGGUGAAAUACUUAGAUAUGUCAUAGAACACCGAUUGCGAAGGCAGCUAACGAAACUAUAACUGACGCUGAGGCACGAAAGUGCGGGGAUCAAACAGGAUUAGAUACCCUGGUAGUCCGCACCGUAAACGAUGAUUACUCGUUGUUGGCGAUAUGACAGUCAGCGACCAAGCGAAAGCGAUAAGUAAUCCACCUGGGGAGUACGCCGGCAACGGUGAAACUCAAAUGAAUUGACGGCGNGAGAGNGCGAGGCGACGACGAGGGGAGAGG
rnacentral:rRNA from 1 species